UACGUAGGGUGCAAGCGUUGUCCGGAAUUAUUGGGCGUAAAGAGCUCGUAGGCGGUUUGUCGCGUCUGCUGUGAAAACCCGAGGCUCAACCUCGGGCCUGCAGUGGGUACGGGCAGACUAGAGUGCGGUAGGGGAGAUUGGAAUUCCUGGUGUAGCGGUGAAAUGCGCAGAUAUCAGGAGGAACACCGGUGGCGAAGGCGGUUCUCUGGGCCUGUACUGACGCUGAGGAGCGAAAGCGUGGGGAGCGAACAGG
rnacentral:rRNA from 1 species